GAUGAAGAACGCAGCGAAUUGUGAUAAGUAAUGUGAAUUGCAGAUUUUCAGUGAAUCAUCGAAUCUUUGAACGCACCUUGCGCUCCUUGGUAUUCCGAGGAGCAUGCCUGUUUGAGUGUCAUUAAUAUAUCAACCUUCUCUUUUUUGAGUUGUUUGGAUGUGGGGGUUUGCUGGCCUCUUAAAUGAUUCAGCUCCCCUGAAAUGCAUUAGCAGAACAACCUGUUCAUUAGCGUGAUAAUUAUCUAUGCUAUUGAAUGUGAGGGCAGUUCAGCUUUCUAACCGUCCUUGGACAAUUCAUCAUUAAUGUGACCUCAAAUCAGGUAGGACUACCCGCUGAACUUAAGCAUAUCAAUAAGCGGAGGA
rnacentral:misc_RNA from 1 species